rnacentral:rRNA from 1 species
AGUGAACGCUGGCGGUAGGCCUAACACAUGCGAGUCGAACGGCAGCACAGUAAGAGCUUGCUCUUACGGGUGGCGAGUGGCGGACGGGUGAGGAAUACAUCGGAAUCUACUUUUUCGUGGGGGAUAACGUAGGGAAACUUACGCUAAUACCGCAUACGACCUACGGGUGAAAGCAGGGGAUCUUCGGACCUUGCGCGAUUGAAUGAGCCGAUGUCGGAUUAGCUAGUUGGCGGGGUAAAGGCCCACCAAGGCGACGAUCCGUAGCUGGUCUGAGAGGAUGAUCGGCCACACUGGAACUGGGACACGGUCCAGACUCCUACGGGAGGCAGCAGUGGGGAAUAUUGGACAAUGGGCGCAAGCCUGAUCCAGCCAUACCGCGUGGGUGAAGAAGGCCUUCGGGUUGUAAAGCCCUUUUGUUGGGAAAGAAAAGCAGCAGGUUAAUACCCCGCUGUUCUGACGGUACCCAAAGAAUAAGCACCGGCUAACUUCGUG